rnacentral:RNase_P_RNA from 1 species
CAACCGUUCUAUCGCCGGCAGUGUGGAAACCGUCAGUGACAUCUCCGUCUCUUUUUGGCCGUUCCCAUUCUGCGGGAGGAAAGUCCGGGCAGCACAGAGUCACCAUACUUCCUAACGGGAAGGGACGCAACCCCAAAGGACUGCGCCACAGAUAGCGCCACAGAAAACAUACCGCCGCUUUGCGGUAAGGGUGAAAACGCGAGGUAAGAGCUCACGACAGGUCCCGGCAACGGGCCUGAUGGCAAGCCUUAUGGGCUGAAAAACCAAGUAUAUCGGCAUUCAAGGGUUGACUCGCCCGCUGCCGAGGGGUGGGUUGAUUGAGGCAGUCGGCGACGGCUGUCCUAGAUUAAUGAUAGAACCGGCCGCUCUGCGGCCGGAACAGAACCCGGCUUACAGGUUGCCGU